CGUUAGCCAGCUGGAAACAGUCGCCUUCCAGUUGGGUCAUUAACAGCCCACGUUUUGUUCCCCCACUGUAGGUUAGCCCUGCUUACUCUCGUCUCCUUGGCCAGGAUCUCCCCAGCUCAACAAGCCCCGCUGAGAUCCCACCUCAAGCUGCUAAAGCCAGUUCUCCAAGCCAUCUACAAUGAGCUCCACAGCACAGUCAGAUUUGGAUGCUGAGUCUUCCAGUAAUAUAAUCCAACCAGAGGAAAGAUUGGCUGGGUCAGGUUUGAAGGCCUUACUUUUCGGGCUCCAACCCUGAAAUAAUG
rnacentral:lncRNA from 1 species